UACGUAGGGUGCGAGCGUUGUCCGGAAUCAUUGGGCGUAAAGAGCUCGUAGGCGGUCUGUCGCGUCUGCUGUGAAAUCCCGAGGCUCAACCUCGGGCUUGCAGUGGGUACGGGCAGGCUAGAGUGCGGUAGGGGAGAAUGGAACUCCUGGUGUAGCGGUGGAAUGCGCAGAUAUCAGGAAGAACACCGAUGGCGAAGGCAGUUCUCUGGGCCGUAACUGACGCUGAGGAGCGAAAGCGUGGGGAGCGAACAGG
rnacentral:rRNA from 1 species